rnacentral:rRNA from 1 species
UACAGAGGUCUCAAGCGUUGUUCGGAUCCAUUGGGCGUAAAGGGUGCGUAGGCGGCGCGGUAAGUCGGGUGUGAAAUCUCGGAGCUUAACUUCGAAACUGCAUUCGAUACUGCCGUGCUUGAGGACUGGAGAGGAGACUGGAAUUUACGGUGUAGCGGUGAAAUGCGUAGAUAUCGUAAGGAAGACCAGUGGCGAAGGCGGGUCUCUGGACAGUUCCUGACGCUGAGGCACGAAGGCCAGGGGAGCAAACGGG